rnacentral:rRNA from 2 species
AGUUUGUUCCUGGCUCAGGACGAACGCUGGCGGCGUGCCUAAUACAUGCAAGUCGAGCGGAUCGAUGGGAGCUUGCUCCCUGAGAUCAGCGGCGGACGGGUGAGUAACACGUGGGUAACCUGCCUGUAAGACUGGGAUAACUCCGGGAAACCGGGGCUAAUACCGGAUAACACCUACCCCCGCAUGGGGGAAGGUUGAAAGGUGGCUUCGGCUAUCACUUACAGAUGGACCCGCGGCGCAUUAGCUAGUUGGUGAGGUAACGGCUCACCAAGGCGACGAUGCGUAGCCGACCUGAGAGGGUGAUCGGCCACACUGGGACUGAGACACGGCCCAGACUCCUACGGGAGGCAGCAGUAGGGAAUCUUCCGCAAUGGACGAAAGUCUGACGGAGCAACGCCGCGUGAGUGAAGAAGGUUUUCGGAUCGUAAAACUCUGUUGUUAGGGAAGAACAAGUGCCGUUCGAAUAGGGCGGCACCUUGACGGUACCUAACCAGAAAGCCACGGCUAACUACGUGCCAGCAGCCGCGGUAAUACGUAGGUGGCAAGCGUUGUCCGGAAUUAUUGGGCGUAAAGCGCGCGCAGGUGGUUUCUUAAGUCUGAUGUGAAAGCCCACGGCUCAACCGUGGAGGGUCAUUGGAAACUGGGGAACUUGAGUGCAGAAGAGGAAAGUGGAAUUCCAAGUGUAGCGGUGAAAUGCGUAGAUAUUUGGAGGAACACCAGUGGCGAAGGCGACUUUCUGGUCUGUAACUGACACUGAGGCGCGAAAGCGUGGGGAGCAAACAGGAUUAGAUACCCUAAGUAGUCCA